ACAUUGCGGUAAUUAACGACGCCGCCCCGAGAUCUCCUGGAGGGAGGCAGCAGUGGGAGUAAUACUGCACAGGUGGGGAGACAUCGCUCGAUGCAGUCCAUCGCCGUCGAUGUGAUGAAGAAUGUCCUGAUGGUAUAAAAUGCACUUUUCAGGGAGAAGAACGUCCCGGUCGGAUAAUACCGGUCACGUAGAGGCUUCACUAGCAGAAGAACACGGGUAUCUAUGCGUGACCAGCAGCCGCUAUAAUGCAGGGGGCACAAGCGGUACUGAGUUUUAGUGGGUAUAGAGCUCGCGUAGGGUGGCUUGAUAUGCCAGGUGAGAAACCCCGGGUCUCACCCUGAGAGUCACAUCCGGCUGGGUCAAUCUAGAGUACAAGAGAAGAGUGUAGAAUUACGUGUGUAGCGGUGAAAUGUAGAGAGAUGGAGGAGGAAUCACAGUGGAGAAGGCCUCUCUGGUGUGUGAUACUGACUGAGAGGUGAGAGAGCGUGGAUAGCACACAGGAUUAGAUCCCGGUAGUAGUACACGCUGUAAGAGAAGUCGUCCAGCCGUUGGGUGCCUAGCGCACUAGGUGGGGAAGUUAACCAGUUAACUCGACCCCUUGGGGAGUCCGUCCCCAAGGUUAAAAUUCAAAUGAAUUGCGGGGGGCCCCCCCAACCGGUGGACCAUGUGGUUUAUUUGGAUCCACCGGGAAGACCUUUACAUGUCCUGGCCUUCUUGGGCAAUUGGUAGAGUUGCCUUUGUCCUUUGGGGACAGCAGAGCCAGGUGUGCCAUGUCGUUGUUCAGUUGGUUUUGGGAAAUGUUGGGUUAAUUCCGGUAACGAGCCCAACCCUUGUCUUUAUUUCCCACCAUGUAAUGGUCGGAACUCUAAGGAGACCCCGGCAACAAACCGGAGGAAGGUGGGGACGUCGUCAAGUCAUCAUGGCCCUUACGGGUAGGACACACACGUACACAAUCAGAGCAACAAAGAGUUGCGAACUCGCGAGAGUAAGCCAAUCCCAGAAAUGUUGGUCUCAGUCCGGAUC
rnacentral:rRNA from 1 species